rnacentral:lncRNA from 1 species
GAAACCCUCUAUCAUCUUCUUGCUGAUGUGUGGCUUCUAAGCUUCCCCAGUAAAGCCCAUUCUUAACUCAUACCUGACACUGUACAACACUAUCCCAAGCCCUAACGCAUAACAGAAAGAGAACCACUUAGAACGACAUUGUGCAAUUGUGCAAUAUUCACUCUUCAAAUUGAGCAUGUUAAUUCAAAUUUCAAAAAAUAUUGAUGUGUCUUAAUAGGCAAAAUGAUGCAACAAAAAAGCACACUUCAACUUCAGACAAUGACUGAUCGAGACUCAAAUUACACAUGGUAAGUGGUAGGA